rnacentral:rRNA from 1 species
UACGUAGGGGGCAAGCGUUGUCCGGAAUCAUUGAGCGUAAAGCGCGUGUAGGCGGCCAGAAAAGUCCGCUGUGAAAACUCGAGGCUCAACUUCGAGCUGUCGGUGGAAACUUUCUGGCUAGAGUCCGGAAGAGGAGAAUGGAAUUCCUGGUGUAGCGGUGAAAUGCGCAGAUAUCAGGAAGAACACCCGUGGCGAAGGCGGUUCUCUGGGACGGUACUGACGCUGAGACGCGAAAGCGUGGGGAGCGAACAGG